CACAGGCGCAGUUGACAUCAGCUUUAUCUGCAUUUCGUGGCCAGAUCCCAAUGACUUCAUCUCCAAGAAUGCUGUUCCAAAAUCAAGGUCCCAGAUCCUGGCUGUUCCGUCGUUGCUUGCAGAGAUAAAGAUGUCUUUGGAGGGCCCUUCGCCAUCUUUAACUGAUUAACUGGGAUAGAGGGGGAGACAAAACUCCAAAGACUGGAAAGGCAAAGCCAAUCAUUGUGCACAGCUCUGUGAGGCUGAAGGACCAUGAUUUCCCCUGGUUUGUACCUUCUU